AAGUAGGAUGGGUGAACGUUGCAUUUUCGCAUAAAACCUGAUAAGUUAAGCGUGCUCGUGCAGAAUCUCCGGUAAAUCACGUCAAAUGGUUGAUUCGGACUUCUGUCGUGGUGUGACGUGUCUCACAAAGUUGCAAUCGAGCGCUAGUUCAUGGUCCCUCACAUUCACUUCAAUAAAUGACAGCGCCUUUGAAGUGUGAUGGGGAGAGCGCUUAACGAACGCUGUAGGCACACACGGAUUCAGAGAGCGCAAGCUCCUUCGUAACCACCAGUCAGCGUAGGCCCUUCUGUCGUGGUUGGGCAUUAAAACGAAUAAUGGAUAUCUUGGUUCUC
rnacentral:misc_RNA from 1 species